rnacentral:lncRNA from 1 species
GUUCGCAGCAACUUUCGCUAUGCUAUUGCAUAGAAACUACCCAAUGAUAUCUCACGAAAUUUAGCACUGUUUAGAAACGAACUUUGAAGCAAAGGAUGAGAAAUUGCGAAUGCAACAAUAACGACAACUACACAGUGGACAGAGGAGGAAAGCAAUCGUUCGGUCUAACGAUGCAUGACGUUCAUCCGGUGGAAGGGUCGAGUUACUCGAGACUGGAAGUUAGAAUCAUAGAGACUCGAUGAUCGAUGAUGAGAACAGAGAAGAGAUAGAUACAAAGAAUUGAAAAUAAAAUAACACGUAUUCGAGAAAAUUUCCCGAUAUCCAAAAUUAGAUCUACGAGAACAAGUACAGGGCCGCCGCUUUGGUGAAUUUAGCCUUACGAAUGUGCUUUAAAAAUAGCCACACUACCUCGCCAAUCAAGUAAUUACCUAUGUCGACUGGGCUUGUUUCUCUUAUAUUCGAUACAUCCUCGCGUUCCUCAUUGGCUGAAUUUAUCGACCAAUAAAAAAAUCACUUUAGAAAUGGCGCCAUUUUUAAACUAAUUUCAAACUUCUUAUGUUUCAUAAAAUUGGUUAUUUCCAUAUAAUCUUGUUAAUUGUGUUUAGAUUGUUGUUGAUGUGCAGUAGUUCGCGAUUUUUUUUGUUUGUAGACAUAUUUUUUAACAAACACGGUUGAAAUAAUUGUGCCAUGGCGUGUGUUGUAUAGCGAAGGUAAGUAAAAUCAGUCGAUAAAAUCGAUACUCUUUGUUGCAAAAGGUGAAUUGUGAAACCGGGCUUCUCUCUCUCUUUUGUCAUGACCCGAUUCUAGAAAGUACAAGCAACAAAAGCGAGGUCUCGAACUUUAAAAAAAAUAUCAUUGCCAACCGCUUGUUUUUAUCGAACAACACUACUAACUCUUUCGAUACUAGUUUUUAUCAUCUAUGUAAACUAAAAAUAAGAAAAGAAAUAGACAAGAUUUUCAUAAAUAACGAAGAAAUGAGAUAACAUUAAGAGUAACUGCACAAUGACGAAUAAUUUCAGUGAAGUAACGGUAAUCUUGGAAGUUGGCCUUUAAAGUACCGUAACAAUUCUACGUUUCCUCGUCCUAAGAGGCACGUCUCUAUUGCCAACCUUGUAACAAUACACUUAGAAAAUAAAUUUUAAGAUAAGGUCAACAAGUAGAUUAUGAAAUUUAAGAGAAAUAAUUAAAAUGUUUUAAGGAUACUAUCAACGGUAAUAGUAAAGGCUUGGAAGGAAAAUUUCCCAAUGAACAAUUAGGAUUAACCCACCAUUGUCUCAUCUAUCUAUCUAUAUCUAUCUCUACUUUGUCUCUUGACGAAAUAUUUAUAACGAUACUAAUUAAUUUCAAUGAAAAGACUUAUUAAAAUAGAUAUGAAAAUGUUGAAUUAUCAAUUCACUUGAAAUACUGAGUCAUUCUUACUAGUCAUAGCACACGAUUAUUUGAAAUAAAUUACAAAUAUUCACAA